GCUGCCCUCAGGACAUCCCCGCUCCCCUCAGAGCACGUCCCGGGCCCCGGCUUCCCGCUCCCCUCAGGACAUCCUCGCUGCCUCCCGGGCAUGUUCUGGGCCUCGACCGCCCGCUGCCCUCACGGCACUUCCCGGCCCCCAGCUUUCCGCUCCCCUCAGGGCGUCCUCGCUCCCCUCAGCGCAGUUCCCCCUCGAGGCAAAAGUGGCCACAUCUUAAAUAAGGCUUGGCUUGAUGACACGAAGGCUUUGCUGUAUUACUGGUUCCUACCUGCUCCUGUUCCUGCCCUGGCAACAAGGCACACCAGCCCUUAGCUCUGCACUGUGAACCACAUCAGGACACUGAUCCAGCUGAAAAACAAACCAGGAGUGAGCUUGAUCUUUGUGGUGCUUAGCCCAAAAGCCUGACUCCUUUUCCUUAUUAAUUUAUUGAAAAAAAGAGAUAAGGUACCACGUUUCCAGCAAUUAUUUCUAUAUAGCAAGUAUGGUGCUCAAUUUACUUUACAGCCUGUAAUUACAACACUAUUCUCUUAGUUAAAACUGAUAACUGAUACUGAGGAGACUUGAUCCAAUUCAGGAAUAUUAUCUAUAAAGUUUUGUGCCUGGGAGGAACUGCUGCUCUCUGAUACAGAGUCUGUAGUAAAUAAUGUGUUCCUGCAGGGUUUAGAAUUUGACCUCCAGCCACUUUUGUUCUGCUAACUGGUUAAAAACAAACCUGAUUUUCUGUCUGUGUUUAUGAGGUUCUUGGGCAGCUG
rnacentral:lncRNA from 1 species